rnacentral:snRNA from 1 species
ACGUAAGGAUCGUGGAGAGAGAAA